UAUUUAAUAUUUUUAAAUUCAUUCUCUCCUACGGAUUGUUGAUCUGUUGGGGUUUUCAUCCCCAAUCAUUUAAAAUUCCGCCAAGGGAAUACCACCCAUAGGCCCUGUGUCACUCUGGGACUGAGGUUCUGUUUCGCCUUCGGGCAAGCAGCAAAUUUGACUGUCUUCUCCAUCGCCUGACUGUGCAGGGCUAAGUCCCAAUGCCUUCGGCUUCUUAUGGAAAGACUACAGGGGUUUACAUUCCCACUUUCAUUAUUUUCAGGGGUACACAAAUCCCCACCUUCAUAACUGGCACCCGACGGACCAAGUUCCGGUUCCGGCCCAGUGUUGUCGGCCCGCCUCACAGCGCCCAUGUUUAGAGUUUUUGUCACGUGACACCAUUCCCAACAUCUGAGAUCAACUUUCCUCAUGACUUCAUUCACCGUUAAGGGUAAUUAAAUUAAUUAUAAUACACCUUCGAAUUGACCGUAAAAUUAUUUUUUGUAAGUAGUAGGAUACAGGCGAACCUGGUACUAGUUUUACUAAUAAGUGUAGGUUUGUUUUUUAUUUUCCCUAUAUGCUCCGCAUUUAAGCGGGGGAGUAUGUGCCGAAUCAGUGCUACUUUAGGCACGAUUUUUUUUAUUUUCUUAGUUUUACAAAAUUUUAAAUUUUUUUAUAACUUCAAUUUUCCUCCUUCACCCGCUGCUUUCGCCCCCAUCCAAACUUGUUCGGUCGAGUGUACCGGCAGGUUAGCUUGUUGAGCAGUAUAGUGCUCUCACCGCCGUUUCCCACCAAAUUUGCUGGGUCUAGCCGACUACAGGGCUAUUAUCAGCAACGGUAUCCACUGGCCGUCGCGUCUCGUCACGAGUUUAGCGCUACGCGUGACGAAAGUAGCCACCCUAAGCUUCCCAUGGUCACCUCCACCCCUUCUCGGAGGUGUGCUGAAGUUUGCGGUCUCUAACACGUUUUUGUGUCCUUUUUUCAAGCUCCGCCGCACGUCCCGACGCCUGGCCGGCGAAGUCUCCCAGGGCAGGUCAUUCACCGGACAUACCCCCCACCCCUCCCUGGUCCACAGCGGUCAUCGGCCAGCCGCGCCAGUGACCAAUCUCAAGGCCAAAAUCCCCCCCCCCCCACUUGCAAAAUGGCGGCCACCAAGUGCCGCGAUGGUCUCUGCGAGACUCCGAUCUGCAUGCCCACGCCAUCUAGCGGCGAAAGGACGAACCAGCUAUCCCCUAUCCCCACCAGGAGAAACAGUCGACCUCACACUUAGUCGAUAGGUCGCCAGAGCCCUUUUUUUUCUUUCGGAGCCCUUCGGAGCACUUCGGGUUUCCCGAUCCCCUCCUCCAGAGGAACAGACGACUGAACUAAAGUUUAAGUUAGCGUCCCGGCGCCAUUUUCAGGGAUUUUGAGGGCAGCUCUCGUCCAGCGCGCAUCUUUGCAACAGGUCGCAGUAACGACCAGCAGCUAUCGUGAUCCGCUUUCGGCGAUAAUGUAGUUGCUUCUGAGCCAGGCCAUGUCGCCUAGAUUUUUUUUAGUUUUUCUUAGUAGCUGCCCAAAUAGCUAAGUUUAACUUUAGUUUUUUUUUUGGUUUUCGCCAUAACUAUUUCUUCUAUGGCUACCGCGAGCUCCCGUGCCGCGCAUCCCCGGAUCACCCCCAGGGACAGCCACUAUCUACUUCACCCUGCCAGCUAAGGCAGGGUUCCAGAAUCCCAGAGGGUUCCAGAAUCCCAGAGUACUUCAAGGACCCCAGACCAGUUCAAGAUGGCGGCCCAGUUCCGGCGCCACAUUUUGCACCUCAACAUGUAACUCGUGAGCCUCUAUAACGGAGUCUCCCUCCAUCUUUCGGCACCCCUCAAAAAGAAGUGAAGAACAGUUUAUAACUCCGCCAGUUUUAGGACGUUUUCCAUAUUAUUAUAAAAUAUUGUAUUUUAAACACAUAUAUUUGUUUUAUGAGCCUGCGAGCUCAAUGUUCCUAAACAGUUGAACUUAGCAUAGUAUGAAAUUGUGUUCCCCCCCCCCCCCCCGGCCCCUCUUUCUCCUUUUUUUAUUCGUUAGUUACUCAAUGUAAUGUAUCAAAAAUAAGAAUCUGACAUUGUUAGCAGUUUUGUUUGUAAUGGCUGUAAUGCCGCAAGAUAUUUUCUAAUGUAAGAAACCUAUCAAUGAAAAGAUACUAAACUACUAAUCAACAGUAAAAGCCUCUAAUGAAACCAAA